rnacentral:rRNA from 1 species
CCUACGGGAGGCAGCAGUGGGGAAUAUUGCACAAUGGAGGGAACUCUGAUGCAGCGAAGCCGCGUGAGUGAAGACGUCCUUAGUUGUGUAAAGCUCUAUCAGCAGGGAAGAAAGUGACGGUACCUGAAAACGAAGCUCCGGCUAAACACGUGCCAGCAGCCGCUGUAAUACGUAUGGAGCACGCGUUAUCCGGAUUUACUCGGGGUAAAGGGAGCGUAGGCGGGAAGGCAAGGUAGAAGAGAAAGGGCAGGGCUCAACCCUGUACAUGCUUUUGAAACUGAGGUGCUAGAGUGCAGGAGAGGUAAGUGGAAUGCGUGGUGUAGCGGUGAAAUGCGUAGAUAUUAGGAGGAACACCAGUGGCGAAGGCGGCUUACUGGACUGUAACUGACGUUGAGGCUCGAAAGCGUGGGGAGCAAACAGGAUUAGAUACCCCUGUAGUC